AAUGCCUGGCCACAAUGCACUGAACUUGUAGUGAUUCGUGCACGCAUGUCGGACCUCCUCUGGUCCUGCAAUACAAUUGAACUCACCUGGUGAUUCCCCCUACGACUCAGUGAUGAAGGAAAUAGUGACAGUCUCAAAGGACCGUCCCUCACUGGAGGGCUGAGCACCAUGGUGUAGGAGGCUAGUGGGUGUGGUGUGUCGGUAUAGCAACUAUAACCAAAGGACUAGAAAACAAAAAAUAAAGUUGUCUAAUAUAUAGCUUUGGAGGAGAUACUGGGAAAAUUCAAGGACACAGAAUCGCUUAGUACAUGUAGCCACUACCGACGAUCUUCCCGACAUACCAGACAUGCCCUCCAACUAUGUGAUGGACGAGUUUUUGAAGGCACGAGAAAAAGCCAACCUUCCGAAAGAGGGUGCCAUCAAGGACAUGGCUGCUGGGUGGUACAAGGAACAUCAUGACUAGCAACCAUGAAUAUAGUAUAUAGCAACAAUUAAAAUUAAACCUUUAUUAGAGAGUAUAAUUAUCUAAUUAUUAUCUGUACGUCCUUUACCUGCGUGCUAUUAUUUUACUUAUCAUUUUUGUUCGAUUAAUUCUGUCAAACAUGUACAUACAUGUAUAUGCAAACAUUACGCACAGCCAUACAAAAAUAGUUGUUGAGUGAUGAUUAAA